GAGGGUAUAGCUCAGUGGUAGAGUGUGUGCUUAGCAUGCACAAGAUCCUGAGUUCAAUCCCCUGUACCUCCA
rnacentral:tRNA from 1 species